GGUUAAGCGACUAAGCGUACACGGUGGAUGCCCUGGCAGUCAGAGGCGAUGAAGGACGUGCUAAUCUGCGAUAAGCGUCGGUGAGGUGAUAUGAACCGUUAUAACCGGCGAUUUCCGAAUGGGGAAACCCAGUGUGUUUCGACACACUAUCAUUAACUGAAUCCAUAGGUUAAUGAGGCGAACCGGGGGAACUGAAACAUCUAAGUACCCCGAGGAAAAGAAAUCAACCGAGAUUCCCCCAGUAGCGGCGAGCGAACGGGGAGGAGCCCAGAGCCUGAAUCAGUGUGUGUGUUAGUGGAAGCGUCUGGAAAGGCGCGCGAUACAGGGUGACAGCCCCGUACACAAAAAUGCACAUAUUGUGAGCUCGAUGAGUAGGGCGGGACACGUGGUAUCCUGUCUGAAUAUGGGGGGACCAUCCUCCAAGGCUAAAUACUCCUGACUGACCGAUAGUGAACCAGUACCGUGAGGGAAAGGCGAAAAGAACCCCGGCGAGGGGAGUGAAAAAGAACCUGAAACCGUGUACGUACAAGCAGUGGGAGCCUCUUAAUGGGGUGACUGCGUACCUUUUGUAUAAUGGGUCAGCGACUUAUAUUCUGUAGCAAGGUUAACCGAAUAGGGGAGCCGAAGGGAAACCGAGUCUUAACUGGGCGUUAAGUUGCAGGGUAUAGACCCGAAACCCGGUGAUCUAGCCAUGGGCAGGUUGAAGGUUGGGUAACACUAACUGGAGGACCGAACCGACUAAUGUUGAAAAAUUAGCGGAUGACUUGUGGCUGGGGGUGAAAGGCCAAUCAAACCGGGAGAUAGCUGGUUCUCCCCGAAAGCUAUUUAGGUAGCGCCUCGUGAAUUCAUCUCCGGGGGUAGAGCACUGUUUCGGCAAGGGGGUCAUCCCGACUUACCAACCCGAUGCAAACUGCGAAUACCGGAGAAUGUUAUCACGGGAGACACACGGCGGGUGCUAACGUCCGUCGUGAAGAGGGAAACAACCCAGACCGCCAGCUAAGGUCCCAAAGUCAUGGUUAAGUGGGAAACGAUGUGGGAAGGCCCAGACAGCCAGGAUGUUGGCUUAGAAGCAGCCAUCAUUUAAAGAAAGCGUAAUAGCUCACUGGUCGAGUCGGCCUGCGCGGAAGAUGUAACGGGGCUAAACCAUGCACCGAAGCUGCGGCAGCGACGCUUAUGCGUUGUUGGGUAGGGGAGCGUUCUGUAAGCCUGUGAAGGUGUGCUGUGAGGCAUGCUGGAGGUAUCAGAAGUGCGAAUGCUGACAUAAGUAACGAUAAAGCGGGUGAAAAGCCCGCUCGCCGGAAGACCAAGGGUUCCUGUCCAACGUUAAUCGGGGCAGGGUGAGUCGACCCCUAAGGCGAGGCCGAAAGGCGUAGUCGAUGGGAAACAGGUUAAUAUUCCUGUACUUGGUGUUACUGCGAAGGGGGGACGGAGAAGGCUAUGUUGGCCGGGCGACGGUUGUCCCGGUUUAAGCGUGUAGGCUGGUUUUCCAGGCAAAUCCGGAAAACCAAGGCUGAGGCGUGAUGACGAGGCACUACGGUGCUGAAGCAACAAAUGCCCUGCUUCCAGGAAAAGCCUCUAAGCAUCAGGUAACAUCAAAUCGUACCCCAAACCGACACAGGUGGUCAGGUAGAGAAUACCAAGGCGCUUGAGAGAACUCGGGUGAAGGAACUAGGCAAAAUGGUGCCGUAACUUCGGGAGAAGGCACGCUGAUAUGUAGGUGAAGCGACUAGCUCGUGGAGCUGAAAUCAGUCGAAGAUACCAGCUGGCUGCAACUGUUUAUUAAAAACACAGCACUGUGCAAACACGAAAGUGGACGUAUACGGUGUGACGCCUGCCCGGUGCCGGAAGGUUAAUUGAUGGGGUUAGCGGUAACGCGAAGCUCUUGAUCGAAGCCCCGGUAAACGGCGGCCGUAACUAUAACGGUCCUAAGGUAGCGAAAUUCCUUGUCGGGUAAGUUCCGACCUGCACGAAUGGCGUAAUGAUGGCCAGGCUGUCUCCACCCGAGACUCAGUGAAAUUGAACUCGCUGUGAAGAUGCAGUGUACCCGCGGCAAGACGGAAAGACCCCGUGAACCUUUACUAUAGCUUGACACUGAACAUUGAGCCUUGAUGUGUAGGAUAGGUGGGAGGCUUUGA
rnacentral:rRNA from 1 species